AUUGAACGCUGGCGGCAGGCCUAACACAUGCAAGUCGAGCGAGCGGCGGACGGGUGAGUAAUGUCUGGGAAACUGCCUGAUGGAGGGGGAUAACUACUGGAAACGGUAGCUAAUACCGCUUACCAUCAGCUGUGCCCAGCUGGGUUUAGCUAGUAGGUGGGGUAACGGCUCACCUAGGCGACGAUCUGUAGCGGGUCUGGGAGGAUGAUCCGCCAAACUGGGAAUGGGACACGGCCCAGAAUCCUGCGGGGGGCAGCAGUGGGGAAUAUUGGACAAUGGGGGGAACCCUGAUCCAGCCAUGCCGCGUGUGUGAAGAAGGCCUUAUGGUUGUAAAGCACUUUAAGCGAGGAGGCGUUACUCGCAGAAUAAGCACCGGCUAACUCUGUGCCAGCAGCCGCGGUAAUAC
rnacentral:rRNA from 1 species